rnacentral:rRNA from 1 species
UAAACUAGGAUUAGAUACCCUAUUAUUUUUGAUCGUUAAUUUUGGUGCCUGAGUAGUAUUAGUUAUGUUCUUGAAACUUAAAGAAUUUGGCGGUAUCUUAUUCCAUUCAGAGGAAUCUGUCUCGUUAUCGAUAGUCCGCGUUGGACCUUACUUGGGAGUAUUAAGUGGUUUGUAUACCGCCGUUUAUUGAUUAUCUUUUUAGAGUCUGGUAAAUUUUCUGGUUUCUUUAUUUUGAUUUAUUUCAGGUCAAGGUGCAGCUUUUUCUAAGUGUAGGAUGGAUUACAUUGUUAUUUGUUGGAUUGUUUGGGUUUAAAUUAUUUGCAUGAAAUUGGAUUUGGUUGUAAUGUUUAUGUAGAUUGUUUUCAUGAUAAUAGGUUCUAAGAUAUGUACACAUCGCCCGUCGCUCUCGUUUAGUUAAUGAGAUAAGUCGUAACAUAGUA